rnacentral:rRNA from 1 species
GUAGUCCAGCCGUAAACGAUGCUCGCUAGGUGUCUGGGACGGUGCGACCGUUUCAGGUGCCGCAGGGAAGCCGUGAAGCGAGCCACCUGGGAAGUACGGCCGCAAGGCUGAAACUUAAAGGAAUUGGCGGGGGAGCACUACAACGGGUGGAGCCUGCGGUUUAAUUGGACUCAACGCCGGAAAACUCACCUGGGGCGACAGCAAUAUGUAGGUCAGGCUGAAGGUCUUACCUGAAUCGCUGAGAGGAGGUGCAUGGCCGUCGUCAGUUCGUACUGUGAAGCAUCCUGUUAAGUCAGGCAACGAGCGAGACCCGUGCCCACUGUUGCCAGCAUAUCCUUCGGGAUGAUGGGUACUCUGUGGGGACCGCUGGUGCUAAACCAGAGGAAGGUGCGGGCUACGGUAGGUCAGUAU